rnacentral:rRNA from 1 species
UGGGGGAAUAUUGCACAAUGGGCGCAAGCCUGAUGCAGCCAUGCCGCGUGUGUGAAGAAGGCCUUCGGGUUGUAAAGCACUUUCAGCGAGGAGGAAGGUGGUGAGCUUAAUACGCUCAUCAAUUGACGUUACUCGCAGAGGAAGCACCGGCUAACUCCGUGCCAGCAGCCGCGGUAAUACGGGAGGGUGCAAGCGUUAAUCGGAAUUACUGGGCGUAAAGCGCACGCAGGCGGUUUGUUAAGUCAGAUGUGAAAUCCCCGGGCUCAACCUGGGAACUGCAUUUGAAACUGGCAAGCUAGAGUCUCGUAGAGGGGGGUAGAAUUCCAGGUGUAGCGGUGAAAUGCGUAGAGAUCUGGAGGAAUACCGGUGGCGAAGGCGGCCCCCUGGACGAAGACUGACGCUCAGGUGCGAAAGGCGUGGGGCAGCAAACAGGAUUAGAUACCCUGGUAGUCCACGCUGUAAACGAUGUCGAUUUUGGAGGUU